UUGUGGUUUGCUUUUUUUUUUUCUAGUAUUUGCCUCUCAUCUAGUUUACUUCUAUCUCUAAACGUGUGUUUUAAUCCUUAUGCAAGGUUAGUUUAGCUGGCAAAGAAAUUUGUUCUAUGCUUGUAUAUUAAACAAAGAUUAAACCAGGCUUCUGUAUAACAGGGAUUUUAGGACAUGAGGGACAGUUGCCUCUGAAAUUAUUUAUUUUCCUGGUCAAUCAUACUAAAACCUUAUGCUUAUCUUUGAGAAUUUUUCAGCAUCCAAAACCCCAAACGGAUAAUGGUAGAGUGGUGAUAAUGAACAUCUUGAGAGAGAAAUUUGCUAGAAGUGGCUGUCAUACACAAGAAUAUGAACACAUUUUAAAAGGGUCAUGUCCCUGUUGUUGAGAUAAUUUGCAUAACUGAUUGUGAGAAAGGCUGGAAAUGAAAGAUUAUUUUCUCUUACUGGAAUCUGAAUGAUUCCAGUAAGAAUCUAAAUGAUUCAUCUAAAUGAAAAUUAAAAACCCCAUAAAAAAAUUUAGUUUUUCUUGGAGCAAAUAGCACUGAAAAAUUAUUUUUCAGAUGGAAAAAAAAAUACUCUGAUACACUAUCUAAGCAUCUCCAAAAUUGCUGUGCUCAAUGAAACCAGGGCAGAUACAGAGAGAAGAAUCUGACCUGGUCUUGGGGAGCAGAAUGCCUCUGAACAGUCUGGCCAUACAGAAUCCAUUUUAACAUUAAUUUCUCAUCUAUAGGAUGGGUAAGACCACAAGUAAAUGUGUGAAUGCAGCAAGCCCUAAGGAGCAGAAAGUUAACCAAACACAGGAGGGGAUAAAUUAUAUUUUUCCUUUGCAGUGCUGUAGUUUUGUGAGCAGGCAGAACAUUAUUAAAAGAAAAUAGCCUUAGCAAUACUUAAUGCUGCCUUUCAGGGGCCAUAGAGGGCUGUGCAAACCUGGGCUGAUAAAGCUCCUCGUGUCUCUGACAGCCCUGCAGGCAGAUAAAAAGCAUUAUCUGUUCCAAAAGGGGCACUGGAGCACACAGAGGACUGGGAUGUGUCUGUGGUGCCCUGGCAGGGACCAGGGCCAGGAGUGACAAUGCUCUCAGGCUCUGCUGUCCCCGUUCCCUCAGCUCAGAACUGCUGCCCAUGGCUGUGCCCAGCUCCCAGAGGAGCAGUGGGACGUGUCCCCUCUGUGUCCCCUCUGUGUCCCUGCUGUGUCCCCAAGGUCCCCAGUGUGUCCCCACUGUGUUGUUACCUCUGCUCCUGUUCCCUCCGUGCUCCUGCUGCUGCUGGGGCUCCCGUGGGACGGGAGCUGAGGUGACAACAGGAACUGGGGUGACAACAGGAACUGGGGAGGUCCUCAAACCCCAGUGACACUGAGAACAGCUGCCUAAGGAAAUCGUGUAAUUUUGACUCAGAGGAUUUUUUUUUUAAAUUUUUUUUUUUAUUUUUGGGUGUACCGUGUGGCAGGGCAGAACUCAGUGUUUCUGUGUCUGUCACAUGUCCCAGCCAGGCACAGCAGUGCUCUUUCCUGAGAACACUCUGCUGCUUGCUCCUUUCCAGGUUGUUGAGCUGGUUUCAGCAGGCCUCGUGCCUGACUACCUGGGGCUGGAGUUUUGAUUGUCCUUGUGUCGAUUUUAUGCAUGUGAGAAGUGAUUUCCACUGAUGACUAAACAGUCUGGAGUGCAAAUGCCUGCCUGGAACUGGUUCUAAAAUGUCAUUUUGUAUGCAGUGAUGGUACUUUGAAGUAAAUAGCCACUGUGAUGACUAAACAAUCUGGAGUGCAAAUGCCUACCUGAAAACUGAUUGGAAAAUGACAUUUUCUGCUUGGGAUAGUACCUUGGAAUGAACAGGCACUUGAGCAAUAUCUUAAGCAAACUUGCUGCUUUAAAAAUCUCAGUGUGGUGAGAGCACUCGUGCUGCACUUGGUGCUGCUCAGUUCUUGUUGUCUUGGUUGCUGCAGCAGUGUAUAAACACAGGUGGGAGCAUAAUUCAACACUUCUCAUUUGAGCUCCUCAUAUUUUCCUUCCAGGGAAAAGGAGAAUUAAUUCUAAUCUGAAAUCGCUUUGUGAUUUGAGCUUCAAGUUUCUGAUGCAAAGCCAUUCUCCAAGUUAGUGAGUGACAGCCUGUGCCCUAAAGAUGUGAGCAGCCAAAAUGGAUCUACCCAGGACUCCUCCCAGACAUCCUGACAGCCCUGCUUGCAUUUUAGUGAGUGACCUGCUGGUUUAAAGUGCUGCAGUGAAUCCUGAGAGAAGGCAGAGGAAGAGCUGAAAAUCAGAAAUGUAUGGUCCAGGAAGAUUUUGGUUGUAAGCAGAAAGAGUGAGGAAGGAAGAUUCCUUUUGUUCCUUGCUGAUAAAUCUGACUGAGUUGAGAGGGUCCUGUCAGACAGUGAAGCACCAAGGCCCAAAAUCUCAAAGGUGGAAGGAUUUUUAACCUCUGCUGGUUUCUCUCAAUUUCUAGUUAACCUUCUCUUAAUAUGCAUUUUCUAAAAACUUUUACAAGCAUAUUUGCAGUUUAGAGGGUGCUAUCUAUGCUCCUGCCUGAUUUGUAUCUGAUAAAGAAUGGAUACAUUUAUUUAUUGAAUGUGUGUUUCUGGUGUAGGUUCAGAUUCAAUUUCCUGUUCACAAAUACACAUUUGCUUGGCUUAGAUCUUGAUUUCCCUUUGCAUAACACCUGCACAGCUCAGAAAUUGGCUUCUGUUAGAAUUCAAGAAAACCUCAAAGAAUCUCUGUUCCUGGGAAUAUUUGAGCAAGAAGGGAUGACAGAUUGUGCCUGGUGGUCUUGUAUUGUUUUGAUAUCUGUAGCCUUUUGUGGACAGUGUUAAUUUAAAUAUGUCUGGGGAUAUGAAACUCUUCUGUUUGUGGAAAUGAAUGCCUUACAUGAUCUAAUACAAGAAGACAUGGAGAGUCUGUACAAAAGUAUGCAACUUCCACAUAGGUCAAGAAAAUCUAGGACUUAUUUUUCUGUGUCGUGUCAAAAAUCUUACUCAGGAAAAUGAGCCACCCCAGAGGGGCUGCUCCUUCGGGUCCUAUGCACAAGCUUUGAUUCCUAUUCUCAUUUUUAAUAAAAUAAUUUUCCUGUCAA